UGCCAGCAGCCGCGGUAAUACGUAGGGUCCGAGCGUUGUCCGGAGUUACUGGGCGUAAAGCGCGCGCAGGCGGUGGCGUGUGCCCGGCGUGAAAGCCCCCGGCUCAACCGGGGAGGGUCGUCGGGGACUGCGCCACUUGAGGGCGGUAGGGGCCGGUGGAAUGCCCGGUGUAGUGGUGAAAUGCGUAGAGAUCGGGCGGAACACCCGUGGCGAAGGCGGCCGGCUGGGCCGUCCCUGACGCUGAGGCGCGAAGGCGUGGGGAGCGAACGGGAUUAGAUACCCCGGUAGUCCACGCAGUAAACGAUGCGGACUAGGCGUGGGGGGACUUGACCCCCUCCGUGCCGGAGCCAACGCGUGAAGUCCGCCGCCUGGGGAGUACGGCCGCAAGGCUAAAACUCAAAGGAAUUGACGGGGGCCCGCACAAG
rnacentral:rRNA from 1 species